rnacentral:tRNA from 1 species
GAAAAUGUGCCCGAAAGAUAAGGACCUCUUUGAUAAAGAGGCUAAUAGGGGUUCGAGUCCCCUCAUUUUCAU